GACGAACGCUGGCGGCGUGCCUAACACAUGCAAGUCGAGCGGGGUUGAAGCGAGGGGUAACUCGGACUUCUACCUAGCGGCGGACGGGUGAGUAACGCGUGGGCAACCUGCCUCAAGGUUUGGGAUAACAGCUCGAAAGGGCUGCUAAUACCGGAUAUGCCUGUGGCCUCGCAUGGGGCUAUGAGCAAAGGGGGAAACCCGCCUUGAGAUGGGCCCGCGUCCCAUCAGCUAGUUGGUGAGGUGAAGGCUCACCAAGGCGACGACGGGUAGCCGGCCUGAGAGGGUGACCGGCCACACUGGGACUGAGACACGGUCCAGACUCCUACGGGAGGCAGCAGUGGGGAAUAUUGGACAAUGGGCGCAAGCCUGAUCCAGCGAUGCCGCGUGUGUGAAGAAGGCCUGGCGGGUUGUAAAGCUACUUUUGGCGAAGACGUAGGUUUUCUUAUUUUAAUAGAGUAAGGGGAUGACGGUAUUCGCUAAGAAAAGCAACCGGCUAACUCGUGUCGCCAGCACGG
rnacentral:rRNA from 1 species